GGGAGGGCCUUAGCUCAAUGGCAGAGCAUCUGCUUUGCAUGCAGACGGUCCCAGGUUCAGUCCCCAGCAUUUCCA
rnacentral:tRNA from 1 species